UAACAGUCUACAGCCAUGGAC
rnacentral:miRNA from 1 species